rnacentral:lncRNA from 1 species
UUACAGUGUUUAUCUGCUGAUGAUAGCCAGACAUCAGUGUUAGACCUGGAGGAGGCCUGGGAGGAAUCCGGUCCACUUACUCCUUCAUUUCACAGAAGAAGAGCUGGAAUCCAGGGUAGCUGAGGUUACUCAGACCUGACGAAUGACUGGAAAGAUACAAAGACAUUUCACUUAAUGGCCGUGGACAGCAACCUCAUGAUGACAUCGCUCCAGCAUUUCUUUGUGAAAUGUGUUGCUCCCUGGGCCUGUCCCAUUAUCAGUGUUUGGGCCUGUAUCCUGGGACUCUACCAGCUUUACCAGUGACAGUUCCAUAUCCCAAAACACCCUUCGGUAGCAGGCAAACUGGCAUGGUUGGUCAGUCUACGAGACACAGUGAGAUGGCUUCAGUCUUUUCUCUGGAGCAUCUCUGGCUGGACUGGACGUUGUUAGUGUGAGACAUCAGGGGACUUGCAGCAUUCAGAGUGGGGUAUCGGAAGGCCCACAAAGGCCCACUCUCAGUUUAUAAGGUCUGGUUUAAGCUGCCCCUCUGGAGCCUGUUUUCUGUUCUAAUGGAAACAAGAAUUUACUCUGUUUUCAUUUCCGAGCCACACAGCAUUCUGCAAAAUAAAAUUCUAAUCAGGUGUCAUCUGAAACAAAGGAAUAAAGACAGGCUGCAAGUAAUUUCUAUUGAUAUUAUGCAGCCAAAUCGCAAAGUCAAGUGCUAGCUAAAUUCACAGAGCACAUUUCAGUGUAGAAAGAGCAUACACAUGGCAUUCUGAGGUACAUCCUGCCUCUAGCAUGCUGGAAUGACUUUCUGUUCCUAGGUCACAUAGUUACAGAAGGAGCUCUCCAACCUGACUGCUAAAGCUGCAGCCAUAAAUCCUUGGAACCCCUUCCAGAGACUACUGGUAAUGAAGCUGUGAGCAGGCAUCCUCAGGAACCCCAGGGAAAUCAAGAUAAUGCAAGUACCAUUGCUCUCAUUUAUGGGUUUGUGAAUGCUGAGAUUAAGAAGGAAUCGUGAGUCUCUACAAGGUUGGAGACUGUAAUGUGCCCUGCCUGGCUGGCUCUGGCUUCACACUCUGCAUUGUGUGUGCAGGGAGCUUCUGGACACUCUGACGAGGAUCUGGUUACCUCUGCACAACACAGAAGACAGGUUGAGGAAGACGGAAAGCUGAGGGGCUUCUUCAGGGAAAAAUAAUCUCAGCGUAGCAUCCCUGUAAGCCUGUCUCCAUCUUACUUGAAGGCUUGUAGUCAUGCCAACUGAAAAGGGUGAGCAGCUUUUCAAAGAUUCCAUCAAAUCUCAGGAAAGCAAAAGCCUCACAUUCCUUUUUCUCUAUCCCCAGGGACUUGCUUGGAUUUCUCCAAAUCCAUCGUUUGUGUUGUGCCAGGCCAUGACUAUUUCUCUCUGUGAUAAAUACUUAAUGCAAAUGGCAAGCCAUCCUGAGGGAGGCUGGCAUCCGUACCUACUGAGAAGGCCAGCAAACAGUGUGUGAAGCACCGACGUCAAAGGCCAUUAAUGCAAAUGCAAAUUGACAUUUUUCAUCAAGGUCUAACAGUACACCAACAGGUAGGCCAACCACUGUGCUGCCUGUUUACAGAAACACGUUGCUAAUCAGUCAGCACAAUCCACUCAAUACCAGUGUUCCUCCACAUUUGCUUCUUAAGCUUUUUGAGAGCAUUAAAUUAGUUUCAAUUAGUAAAGCUAAUGUGUGCAGAAAUAUUGAACAUUUUAAUUUAAUGGAAAACACCCUGCUGGGUGAGAAAUAUCAUUUCUAUCUGGAGCCCAUUUUUGUAGCACAAGCCGCUGGCUGCAUAUCUUGAAAGGUUAACCACAGGUUCAUUACAGUCCAAAACACUGAUGUUGACAUUGUUUUGCAUUUCUUACAGAUCAUUAAAAAGCUCGAUAUUCAUUUCUUCAGUGAUGAGGUUCAUCUGGAAGUUAAGGAUUUAAUUUGUGGUUUUGAAUUUUACCUUUUUCCUGUUAGAGCACAAAAGAAAAACUAUUGCAUCACGAAAGUUCUCUAUCAUGUGAAUCGUUUCCAUACACAUACAACAGUGAAAUAUUGCCAAGCAGCAAUAAUGAAACAGUCACCCUUUUCCUCACGAUAGCCAUAUACAUUCUCAGCUCUCCAAUUCGUUGCCACCAUUAGCUCUGUUUUAUUUAUUGUGCCUGAAGCCUGAUUUCCAAUGGGAGGCCUUGUAUAAUGGAAUGCCAGUAGACUUCUAGCUCCCUGUGAUUUAGAUGCCAGCUUUAUGCUCCAUAAUAAAACGAGAGAACUAGACACACAUGAGAAAAUACAUUUUAUCUACUGGCUGAUGUUCAUAUGUUGAAUGUUAGAAGGACUUUGGUUUUCAGCCAUCACUAAAUUUCACAGAGUUGCUGACAUAAUUUCACACCUUCCUGUGGGCCAUAAUAAUGACAGGAGAAUUUUAAAUGUGGGAUUUGACAUGGAGAAAUACAUGUAAAGUUUACUACAGCCACCAAAGAAUGUUAUCUCAGUGAUCAAAUACAAAACAAAAAUUAAAUACAGCAUUAUACAGAAGUAGUUAUUUAUCCUCACCCAUCAUAUUGUGAAGGAAAUUACUGCAUCAAUAAAAAUGAAACAAAAAAUAGUCUGGUGUUAUAGCUGAAGGGAAAGAGUGAAGGUGGAGGGAGGGUGGGAAUGAGAGACAGGGAGAAAAGAUACUAGAGUGUCCCAUGGAAUUCAGAGUUUCUACUUUGAAAAUAGAGAAAUCUGAAAGUCUUGACACUGAUUUGUGGUUGGGUUUGGACCAUGGAGAGCAGCAGAAGGAGAUCACAAGGAAGGAAAAGGGAUGAGUGACCCACAUGCCAAACAGUGGAACCAACUCUGAGAUUUCACUUUUCACCAUCCCCCAGGGGACCAGUCAGCCACAUGGUGGCUGCUGAACAUAUUAAACCCAAAUCCUUGCACUUCAUGGGUAGGCACAUACUUGACUUACAGAUUUGAUUUUCCUACCUGCAGUUCUUCUUUCACAACUACUAUUCCUGGACUUACAGAAUGCCAUAUUCAUUGACACACAAUGUUGCCUCUGCCCAAGAGAUGUAUUUUACGGCAAAGGAAGUGUAGUAAUGGGCUUGCAACCUUGAGGUUCAUGGGUUCUUACCAAGAUCCUCAUGCCUCAGAAGCAUCUGGCCUGAUGGAAUAGUGAAUGGCUUGCUGAAGGUUCAAACAUGGCCCUAGUUAGAGCCCACACCUCAUGAUGUGGGACUACACUCUUAUAUGUGUUGCAUAUGCCUUUAACCAGUGGAGAAUACAUGGUGUUAUGUCUAUCAUUAACACAAUGCUCAGAUCUGGUAACUAAGGAGAAGUGCAAAUGGUCUCCUUCAGAAUUCUUCCUGUUAACCUACUUGAGUUUUUUUCCUUCUGUUCCCAUAACCUAGGCCUUCUGUAUUUAGAAGGCCUAAUAACUAAGGAGUGAGUGCUUCCAUCCAGGAAUAUUAUCAUCCUUCCAUUGAGCUGGAAGCUGAGAUUGCCACUUGCCAUUUUGGCUUCCUCAAGCUAUAAAACAAACAGAUACAGAUGUCACUGUGGUGGCCGUAGGGAUUGAUCUCAAUUACCAAAGUAAAUUUAGCUUGCUGUUAUACAGUGGGGAUAAGGGAGACUAUGCCUGGGUCAGAGGAUUUAUUGGGGAGUCUCCUAUUACCCUCUUGUCAAAAAGUACUGGCCAGUAAAAUUAUUCAACAACCCCCCAAAACAAACAAACAAAAAAACAAACAAAAAAACCUACCACCACCAACAGGCCACCAAGGAAUCAAAUCCCAGUGAAACAAAAGUUUGAUUCAUUCCACUAGGUAAACAACCUCUGCAACUGCAAUACAGCAGAAGGAGAGGGACAAAGAGGAGGUAGUGGAAUAUGCAGCUGCAAUGACCACCAAUUUAGGCUGCAUGAGCAGCUGUAGGACUGGGGCUCCAAGAGCUGUUUCCUGUUAAUGAACUUUUUCUGUUUUCCUUUCUAACAGUAGUGGCUUUGAGAUUUCAAGUGUCGAAUGACAGCAUUGACAUUACCUAUCAACAUUCCCCUUGAUUGUUGCUGGCUCCAGAGUCCUUGUGGUUUUCCUACAUUCUGCACACAUCUUUGUGAAUAGUCACUUAUUUAAACUAUCCUAAAAUUAUGCAGUUAAUGUGCAGUCUCUUUCCUGCUUGGACUUUAAAUAAUA